rnacentral:rRNA from 1 species
GAUGAACGCUGGCGGCGUGCCUAAUACAUGCGAGUCGAGCGAACAGACGAGGAGCUUGCUCCUCUGACGUUAGCGGCGGACGGGUGAGUAACACGUGGAUAACCUACCUAUAAGACUGGGAUAACUUCGGGAAACCGGAGCUAAUACCGGAUAAUAUAUUGAACCGCAUGGUUCAAUAGUGAAAGACGGUUUUGCUGUCACUUAUAGAUGGAUCCGCGCCGCAUUAGCUAGUUGGUAAGGUAACGGCUUACCAAGGCAACGAUGCGUAGCCGACCUGAGAGGGUGAUCGGCCACACUGGAACUGAGACACGGUCCAUACUCCUACGGGAGGCAGCAGUAGGGAAUCUUCCGCAAUGGGCGAAAGCCUGACGGAGCAACGCCGCGUGAGUGAUGAAGGUCUUCGGAUCGUAAAACUCUGUUAUUAGGGAAGAACAAAUGUGUAAGUAACUAUGCACGUCUUGACGGUACCUAAUCAGAAAGCCACGGCUAACUACGUG